UGUGCUUCGCUAGCGCCAGGACUCGUCUCCCGCGGCGGAGGCGAGUUGACGAGGAUGGGGUGUGUCGAGGGUUCGGCGGAUCUCCCCACGGUUGGCCACGACCGUGAGCGGCCUGGCAAAUCCCGGGAGCGAUCCCGGGGACAAUACAGGCCAGGUGGCCUGA
rfam:Hydrogenibacillus schlegelii strain DSM 2000 scaffold24, whole genome shotgun sequence.